rnacentral:lncRNA from 1 species
ACAUCUACCUACACCCACCCAGGACUCUAGCUGGGGCCUCGGGGCAGAAGUUCUUCCUAGGGUGUCACCUCCAGACACACUGCUGCGGCGGGAGGAUGCGUUUCUAAUACUUAUCUCUUCCCCCCACAACCAUCCUCACCAGAAUUUUGGCCAGAAACAAGAGGAGUCCUGUCCGAGGAGAGCCCGGCUGGCUGACUGGAAUCCCAAGACAUGCCAAGGUCCCUGGGAAAUGACAGGACACCCAGAUCUGCUGGGAGCAGAGUUCUCAUAGGGUCCCAGCUGAGCCCUGGAACUCCCCAGACCCCCUCUGCCACUCCAUCUCUGCGUCAGCCCAGCACCUGUGCCCUAUCCGGCUUUGGCCACCAUCUCCACCCUGGGGAGGGGGAGCAUAACCCCCUCCAGCCUGAGGUUGGCGCCAAGGUUUAGGAGCCAGCACAGAAGCCUCUGAGAGCCAUAAGGGUAGAAAAGGUUACCCGGUACUAAACCAGCCAGCCUCGGGGUGAUCUCAUCCACUUCCCAAGAUAAGCCCCCUCCCCCACCCUCUGGCCACUGGCCAACAGGGUAAGUCACGAGGGAGCUGGUGGAAGAGUGUGUGUGAGGGCUGGGGGAAGGAUUUCAACUUGGGGUCACACUGUACAUUCUGUUUUGUGAUCAAUUCCCCCCAACAUUUACAGUAUUGACAAUUAGCAGUUUCCUGUCAGAUAAACUAUAAAGAUCUUCCCCCAUCA